GGUUGCUGACUAAGCGUACACGGUGGAUGCCCCGCGCAGUCAGAGGCGAUGAAGGGCGUGCUAUCUGCGAUAAGCGCCGGUAAGGUGAUAUGAACCGUUAUAACCGGCGAUACCCGAAUGGGGAAACCCAGUGUGACUCCGUCACACCAUCAUUAACUGAAUCCAUAGGUUAAUGAGGCGAACCGGGGAACUGGAAACAUCUAAGUACCCCUGAGGAAAAAGAAAUCAACCGAGAUUCCCCCAGUAGCGGCGAGCGAACGGGAGGAGCCCAGAGCCUGAAUCAGCAUGUGUGUUAGUGGAAGCGUCUGGUGGGCGCGCGAUACAGGGUGACAGCCCCGUACACAAAAGCGCAUGUGCGCUGUGAGCUCGAUGAGUAGGGCGGGACACGUGGUAUCCUUGUCUGAAUAUGGGGGACCAUCCUCCAAGGCUAAAUACCUCUUGACUGACCGAUAGUGAACCAGUACCGUGAGGGGUGCUAUGAAAAGAACCCCGCGAGGGGAGGAAAAGAACCUGAAACCGUGUACGUACAAGCAGGGAGCACCUUUCGCGUGACUGCGUACCUUUUGUAUAAUGGGUCAAAGGACUUAUAUUCUGUAGCGCAAGGUUACCCGAAUAGGGGAGCCGGAGGGAACCGAGUCUUAAUUGGGCGUUAAGUUGCAGGGUAUAGACCCGGAAACCCGGGUGAUUCAGCCAGGCGGUGCUGAAGGUUGGGUAACACUAACUGGAGGACCGGAACCGACGUUGAAAAAUUAGCGGAUGACCUGUGGCUGGGGUGAAAGGCCAAUCAAACCGGGAGAUAGCUGUUCUCCCCGAAAGCUAUUUAGGUAGCGCCUGUGAACUCAUCUCCGGGGGUAGAGCACUGUUUCCGCUUAGGGGCCAUCCUGGCUUACCAACCCGAUGCCGCAACCAGUGAAUACCGGAGAAUGUUAUCGACGGGAGACAUUAAUGGCAGCAACGUCCGUCGUGGAAGAGGGGAAACAACCAGACCGCCAGCCAAGGGGUCCCAAAGUCAUGGUUAUGGGAACGAUGUGGGAAGGCCCAGACAGCCGCAUGCUGGCCUGCUGCCAUCAUUUAAAGAAAGCGCACAGUCACCCGGCCGAGUCGGCCUGCGCGGAAGAUGUAACGGGGCCGUCCGCGCACCGAAGCGCGCAGCGACACCCGUGGUGUUGUUGGGUAGGGGAGCGUUCUGCGUCGCAGCGUGGCCUGUGAGGGUUGCUGGAGGUACUGUGAAGUGCGAAUGCUGGACAUAAGUAACGAUAAAGUGGGUGAAAAGCCCGCUCGCCGGAAGACCAUGGGUUCCUGUCCAACGUUAACCGGGGCAGGGUGAGUCGACCCCUAAGCGCGAGGCCGCCGAAAGGCGUAGUCGAUGGAAACGGGUUAAUAUUCCCUGCAAUUUGGUGUUACCGCGAAGGGACGGAGAAGGCUAUGUUGGCCGGAAGGACGGUUGUCCCGGUUUAAGCGUGUAGGUGUAGUUCCUGUGUAAAUCCGGUUCACUUUAAUACUGGAGGCGUGACGACGAGGCACUACGGUGCUGAAGCAACAAAUGCCCCGCUUCCAGAAAGCCCUCUACACCAGGGUAACACUGUACCCGUACCCCAAACCGGACACGGGUGGUCAGGUAGAGAAUAACGGCGGCGCUUGAGAGAACCUGCGAAGGAACCAGGCAAAAUGGUGCCAACUUCGGGAGAAGGCAGGCACGCUGAAUGUGGUGAAGUGGAUUUACCCACGGAGCUGAAGUCAGCCUGAAGAUACCAGCUGGUCGCAACCUGUUACAAACACAGCACCGCAAACAAUUUGUGCGGACGUAUACGGUGACGCCUGCCCGGUGCCGGAAGGUUAAUUGAUGGGGUCAGCGCAAAAGCGAAGCCCUGAUCGAAGCCCUGCAAACGGCGGCCGUAACUAUAACGGUCCUAAGGUAAAGAAAUUCCCGUCGGGUAAGUCCGACCCUGCACGAAUGGCGUAAUGAUGGCUGCGCUGUUCCACCCGAGACCGCUAGAAAUUGAACUCGCUGUGAAGAUGAAAAGUACCGGCAAGACGGAAAGACCCCGUGAACCUUUACUAUAGCUUGACACUGAACAUUGAGCCUUUACGUAGGAUAGGUGGGAGGGCUUCUUUAGUGUACCAAGGUCUGCAUGGAGCCGACCUUGAAAUACCACCCUUUAAUGUUUGAUAUUCUAACGUGGACCCCGUAAUCCGGGUUGCGGACAGUGUCGGUGGGUAGUUUGAUCGGGGCGGUCUCCUCCUAAAGUACCCGGAGGAGCACGAAGGUUAUUAAUCCCCGCCGACAUCAGGAGGUUAGUGCAAUGGCAUAAGCCAAAGUUUGACUGCGAGCGUGACGGUGCGAGCAGGCAAGAAAGCAGGUCAUAGUGAUCCGGUGGUUCUGAAGCGAAGCGGCCAUCGCUCAACGGAUAAAAGGUACCUGGGAUAAUAAUAGGCUGAUAAUACCGCCCAAGAGUUCAUAUCGACGGCGGUGUUUGGCACCUCGAUGUCGGCUCAUCACAUCCCAGCUGAAGUGAAGUCCCAAGGGUAUGGCUGUUCGCCAUUUAAAGUGGUACGCGAGCUGGGUUUAGAACGUCGUGGAGAUGCCUGGUCCCUUAUCUGCCGUGGGCGCUGGAGAACCUGAGGGGGCUGCUCCAGUACGAGAGGACCGAGGACGCAUCACUGGUGUUCGGGUUGUCAUGCCAAUGGCACUGCCCGGUAGCAAAUGCGGAAGAGAUAAGUGCUGAAAGCAUCUAAGCACGAAACUUGCCCCGAGAUGAGUUCUCCUGAGACUUAGGUUCCCAAAGGAACGUUGAAGACGACGACGUUGAUAGUCGGGUGUAAAGCAGCGAUGCGUUGAGCCAACCGGUACUAAUGAACCGUGAGGCUUAACCUU
rnacentral:rRNA from 1 species